UCCUUUUAUCUGUUGGAGAAUGUAAUGCGCGGGGGGAGAGAAAGAAUAAAGGGGAAGGUGGAAAGCUGACAGGCAGAAGCCCGUUAGCAGACCAGCUCGCUUGCUUGCUUAAAGCUCUGUGCUGUCUUGUCAUUGAACCGCCACAACUGGCGCCCAAACGUGGGGCCCUCAGCACUCACCUCGCCCAGCAAGGGUUUCAGACGCGUCACUCAUCCGCUUCGCGGAUCCCGGGCUGGUGGACACUGGAGCUGACGUUACGGUGAUUCGUGAUCCGGAGUGGCUGUCAUACCGCUCUGCCUGGGCUACUUACUGAAGGCAAUGCGUGCGCUGAUCGCGCGUUACAUGGUCAGGUAAAUUCCCUUUUUUCUGACCCCAUUGAAAGCCAUGCCUUUUUUCAUCAGUCUGCCUCUGUUUUGGCCCAACAGUUUCACAUUCCUGCUGAUCAUGCACGUUCUAUUGUUCGUUCCUGCCCCCACUGUGUCGCUGCUGCCCCUACCUUUUCUUAUGCCGUUAACCCCAGAGGUACCGCGGCGAAUCAGCUCUGGCAAAUGGAUGUCACUCAUGUGCCACAAUUCCGCCCCUAUUCGUUUUUACAUGUUUCCAUUGAUACCUAUUCGGGAUUCCUCUGGGCGACCCCACAGCGUGGAGAAGCCACUCCCAAAGUUAUUCACCAUUUGCUAGCCUGUUUUGCUGUUAUGGGUCGCCCGAGCCAGUUACAAACGGAUAAUGCCCCAGCCUAUUGCUCCACAGCCCUCUCCACCUUUUGUGCCCAAUGGGACGUCCGUCUCAAACACGGGAUUCCUUAUAAUUCCACAGGCCAAGCUAUUGUUGAACGUGCAAAUCGCACGCUAAAAACCUUGCUCGACAAACAAUUAAAACAAGGGGAGCUGCGUCUCCGAACCUUAGGAGACAUUCAGCAACAAAUGCAUAUCCUUUUGUUUACUUUAAAUAAUUUAACAUUGAAUACAGAUCAGCAGACCCCCACGGAUUGGCGUUUUCAUAAGUCCAAGGUACUGGAAAGACCGCGUGCCUAUUACCGUUAGCUGCCCGAUCCGCAAUGGCUGGGCCCAGUGCCUUUAAUCACUUGGGGUUGGGGAUAUGCUGCUGUGUUUCUCCCUGCAGGACCGUUGUGGGUUCCGGCCUGGUAUGUGCGACCGGCACUGAAGCAGCAUGGCGUGGCACCAGGGGCUAUCGAACCGCAUACUGGAGUUUCAGCUGACCUUGGAGGAGAGCGCGGUGCCUCCCGGGUCGACAACAACGGGACGGAAACGGAGGAGACGUAGCGUCCCAAGCCAGCCCGUGACAUGGGGAGCGGUAAAAGCAUUGGUCGCCGCGGCUCAAUGAAGACUGGCAGCAAACCAACAGCCAGAGACUCCUGAGACUUUGUUUGUGGCAAUUCUCACCCAAAUUACUGCUAAUUCUGUAUUGAUUGUAUGCCUUUUGUGCCUGCUAUUUCCUGUAGGGGUUGGCUCGGGAGCGCUUCCUCCGUUACGGGCCCGAAUGACAUAUAACCUAUGGGAAAUAUUGGCUUCAAUAGCAAAUGUUACCCACUUUUGUUUAUCUGAUUCUGUAGCAGCCGGGGAACUGUUAGGUACAUGCCUUAUUCCAGUAUGUCAUCACCCUGAGGAAACUGGAAAUGAGAUGAUGCUCGCUGCUUACACGAACCUCUCUUCCCAAUACUCUAGCAUGGCUAAUUGGGGCCCGGCCAAUUACACUUUACCUUCUUAAGCUCAUUUUUUUCUGUUGCUGUGUGCAAUGUAUUUCCUUUUUGUUAAGGCUUUGUCGAGAACCGCCCUGGCAGGCUCCACGAGUUAUGACCUCGUCUGUCCGGGAGUUAAUUGGUUUGCAAAAGCAAACUGAUGGCUACCAUGAGAUGGCCGAGCACAAAUAAACACAAAAGGAGGGGAUGUAGGAUUCAUACAAGGUUCAUGUGCUUGGCAACAUUCAGGGCACACCCGGAGUGUUGUAUAGGAGCUGUGCACACACAGCUCUUCUCAAGGGCACGAACCUUGGAAUCUCGCCCAGAUGACAUGAACCAUGGGAAGCCUCCCAGGACUGGGCUCAAGGCCCGAGAGCAAGGAAUGCGGUAGAUAGAAAUUGGUAAAUAAGAAUGUUAAACAAAGCCAGUGUAUUCCUUUUAUCUGUUGGAGAAUGCAAUGCGCGGGGGGAGAGAAAGAAUAAAGGGGAAGGUGGAAAGCUGACAGGCAGAAGCCCGUUAGCAGACCAGCUCGCUUGCUUGCUUAAAGCUCUGUGCUGUCUUGUCAUUG